AUACCACUCAGACGACAGAAGACGUUUUUUCUGUUGUCUGAUUUUUUUGAACGUCUUCAGACAACAGAUUUAACUAUUUAUGUCGUCUAAAUGGUAUCAAAAUCAACACCAAUUCAACUUUUUCAAGUUUGUUAUAAUUUAGAAAAUUCAGACAACAGAUUCUGUUGUCUGAGUAAAGGGAGAAAUUAUUUCUCCUUGUCUGGACAAAAAAACAUUUUUGGCUGAACUAAAACUUGGUUAAAAAAAACUGGCUGAACUAAAUGACCUAGCGCUAGAUACCCCGAGUUCUCUAAUAACACUUAGUUAAAAAAAUAGACGCCUCUUUUCUUCUCCUCGAGCAGUCGACCUAGAACCCUUCUUCUCCAGCAGUCGACCUAGAACCCAAUUGAGCAACAGAUUGGAGCGAACCCAGAUCAGAGCUAGACCCCAAAUCGUCAACAGAUCAGAGCGAUCUCCGAUCCCAGACGACCAACAGAUCAGAGCGAUCUCCGAUCUCAGACGACCAACCCAGAUCAGAACGAUCCCCGAUCUCAGACGAACAACCCAGAUCAGAGCGAUCUCCGAUCUCAGACGACCAACCCAGAUCAGAGCGAUCUCCGAUCCCAGACGACCAACAGAUCGGUACCAUGUGAGAACGAAGGAGAGAACCGCCGCGAACAAUAGAACCCGGACGAGCGUGUCGCUGAGCUGAUCCAUCAGGAGCUUCAGGAUCGACUAAUCCUCGUGCUUCUCCAGUUCGUUCCAUCCGUACACCGCCCGGCGCUUCUCGACUUCCUCCUCCGACAGCCCCGAGGCUCUGCUGACCUUGAACUCGUCCUCGCAUUCCUGAAGAAACUGAACCUAUAUUGGAUGAGGCUGCGGUGCAAAAUAUAUUUUUAAAGUCCCUAGACAACUAUAUAAAGUGGUGUAACUACUUGUGCAUUCAGCCAGUUUGGAGCAAUUUGCAGUCAGUUAGGAAGGAGAAAAAGCUACUGUUUGUUUCCAUGUACUGUUUGAUCUGGGGUGAAGCAGCCAAUUGAAAGCUUGGAGUUAGGCUCAUUAGGCAAGCAUUGGAAGCGGAUGAUUGGCUUAGCUCUGACUUAAACAAAUUGAGAUCAUGGCGCCAUCUAAUAGAGCAGCAGCAGCUAAAGCGAUAGCUUUGAGGAUGAAAGCUGUGCAAAUGAAAAGAACUAGCUCUAAGGAUGCAGGGCCGUCAACCACACCUAAAGCUUUGUCUCCAAAGAAGAGGGUUGUGUCUGCUAAGAAGAAGGAGGUGUCCCCGAAGAAGAAGGUUGUCCAAACUAAGAAGAAGACUAGAUCCCCGAAGAAGAAGACAAAGGCUGUAUCAGAGAAAUCUGUAUCAAAGACCAAGUCUGGAAAUAGUUCUAAGUCUAAUAAGAUAGAGGUUGGUGAUGAUAUCGAAGAUCCUAAUGCAACUGGUGGUUUGAAGCUGCUAAGGCGAGGGAUGGUGACAAUGAAUCGCAUUACAAGGCGACUCAUCAGAGGGAGAAAGCUAACCAUACAGAUUAAUGAUAAGGGGGAACCUUAUGGUAAGGCUGCAAAAGAAAUGCAGUCUUACAUUGGGGUCUUAGCA